CAGCCGCCGCGGGAAUACGAAGGGUGCAAGCGUUAAUCGGAAUUACUGGGCGUAAAGCGUGCGUAGGCGGUGAGUUAAGUCUGCUGUGAAAUCCCCGGGCUCAACCUGGGAAUGGCAGUGGAUACUGGCUCGCUAGAGUGUGUCAGAGGAUGGUGGAAUUCCCGGUGUAGCGGUGAAAUGCGUCGAGAUCGGGAGGAACAUCAGUGGCGAAGGCGGCCAUCUGGGACAACACUGACGCUGAGGCACGAAAGCGUGGGGAGCAAACAGGAUUAGAUACCCGAGUAGUCCCUGUCUCUUAUAA
rnacentral:rRNA from 1 species